rnacentral:rRNA from 1 species
AUUGAACGCUGGCGGCAGGCUUUACACAUGCAAGUCGAACGAGUGGCGGACGGGUGAGUAACGCAUCGGAACGUACCGAGUAAUGGGGGAUAACUGGCCGAAAGGAUAGAUAAUACCGCAUAUUAUUCGAGCGGCCGAAGUCUGAUUAGCUGGUGGGCGGGGUAAAGGCUCACCAAGGCGACGAUCAGUAGCGGGUCUGAGAGGAUGACCAGCCACACUGGGACUGAGACACGGCCCCGACUCCUACGGGAGGCAGCAGUGGGGAAUUUUGGACAAUGGGCGCAAGCCUGAUACAGCCAUGCCGCGUGUCUGAAGAAGGCCUUCGGGUUGUAAAGGACUUUUGUCAGGGAAGCGGUACCUGAAGAAUAAGCACCGGCUAACUACGUGCCAGCAGCCGCGGUAAUUC